AUGGUCCAAAUACUGUCCCUGAUCCACAUCGGAGAUGGUAGACUGAGUAGCAUGCCCUACAUACCAGCAGACGUCACAAACCUAAAGGCAAAGUACCGUAGAGAGAGCAAGUUGGCUGACAUAGAAGACAGGAUAGCCUACUUUGAAGAGAAAGCAAAAGUAGAUGCUGAUUUAUUUUACAGGAUAAGAUUGGACGAUGAGGACCGUGUCAGAAACAUGUAUUGGGUGGAUGGUGCUGCAAGAAGAGCCUACAACCAUUUCCGUGAUUGCUUUUCGUUCGAAGCGACAUAUCUCACUAAUAAGUACAAGAUGCCCUGCGCUCCGUUCAUAGGAAUAAAUAACCAUAAUCAGUCAUUGCAGUUCAGUUGUGGACUCUUUCGGAACGAAGAUAUGGAUGGUUACACUUGGUUGUUCAAAACCUUCUUGGAGUGUUGGGUGGACUUGCUCCGAUGA
rnacentral:rRNA from 1 species